rnacentral:rRNA from 1 species
AAUCUACUUUUUCGUGGGGGAUAACGUAGGGAAACUUACGCUAAUACCGCAUACGACCUACGGGUGAAAGCAGGGGACCUUCGGACCUUGCGCGAUUGAAUGAGCCGAUGUCGGAUUAGCUAGUUGGCGGGGUAAAGGCCCACCAAGGCGACGAUCCGUAGCUGGUCUGAGAGGAUGAUCAGCCACACUGGAACUGAGACACGGUCCAGACUCCUACGGGAGGCAGCAGUGGGGAAUAUUGGACAAUGGGCGCAAGCCUGAUCCAGCCAUACCGCGUGGGUGAAGAAGGCCUUCGGGUUGUAAAGCCCUUUUGUUGGGAAAGAAAUCCAGCUGGCUAAUACCCGGUUGGGAUGACGGUACCCAAAGAAUAAGCACCGGCUAACUUCGUGCCAGCAGCCGCGGUAAUACGAAGGGUGCAAGCGUUACUCGGAAUUACUGGGCGUAAAGCGUGCGUAGGUGGUCGUUUAAGUCCGUUGUGAAAGCCCUGGGCUCAACCUGGGAACUGCAGUGGAUACUGGGCGACUAGAGUGUGGUAGAGGGUAGCGGAAUUCCUGGUGUAGCAGUGAAAUGCGUAGAGAUCAGGAGGAACAUCCAUGGCGAAGGCAGCUACCUGGACCAACACUGACACUGAGGCACGAAAGCGUGGGGAGCAAACAGGAUU